AGACACCUCUCUGCUGGCGUGUUCCUGGGUCCAUGAUGGAAGAAGGAAAAGUAUUUUUAAAAGACAAUCUGAAGCUCAUACUGUGACUGCAACAUAAAAUGUGUUCACCUGAGGAGACUGCUUUCAUCGCCAGUGUGUCACAGAAGGUCUCUGAUGGUUCUGGUUUCCUGGGCACCUAGAAUAAGUGUGUCACCAUUUGUCCUGAAGCUGACUUCUCUGAGCUGGAUGGCACCCUGGACAUCAACCAGCCCUUCACCUUCACGUCACACAGGAGGGACACUGGUCCAUAGAGAGGAUGCCUGCUCUGGUCACCAGCUGGAGAGUGGCAGACCUUGGGUACCUGACCUUUGGACUCUGCCACACAGAGCACUUCCUCAGUCCCUCCUGCUGCCCCUGGCAGGGUGGAGCUGGCAGGGCAGCUGAUCCAGGACCGUCCACUUCCAAGCCAGCAGGAGGAUGGAAAAGC
rnacentral:lncRNA from 10 species